UAUGUCAGGGUGAGACGCAAAGAGGAAGGCACGUCUGAGCCAGUCCUUGAAAGAAGAAUAGUAUCUGGCCAUGUUUCAGGUGAAGGGAAAGGCCUUCUAGACCAUGGGAACAGCAAGAGCAGGUGUAGAGGAUUUAAAGGGCAUUGGUGUUGUAGGAAAUGUGGCGAAGAGCUGUGUGGUCACGGAGUGAGCAGAGA